GGCAUAGCUCAGUGGUUGAGCAUCAAACUAUGAAUCAGGAGGUCAUGGUUCAAUUCCCUGUCAGGCCA
rfam:Myotis lucifugus cont2.32938, whole genome shotgun sequence.